GAUGAACGCUGGCGGCGUGCCUAAUACAUGCAAGUCGAGCGAACAGACGAGGAGCUUGCUCCUCUGACGUUAGCGGCGGACGGGUGAGUAACACGUGGAUAACCUACCUAUAAGACUGGGAUAACUUCGGGAAACCGGAGCUAAUACCGGAUAAUAUAUUGAACCGCAUGGUUCAAUAGUGAAAGACGGUUUUGCUGUCACUUAUAGAUGGAUCCGCGCCGCAUUAGCUAGUUGGUAAGGCAACGGCUUGCCAAGGCAACGAUGCGUAGCCGACCUGAGAGGGUGAUCGGCCACACUGGAACUGAGACACGGUCCAGACUCCUACGGGAGGCAGCAGUAGGGAAUCUUCCGCAAUGGGCGAAAGCCUGACGGAGCAACGCCGCGUGAGUGAUGAAGGUCUUCGGAUCGUAAAACUCUGUUAUUAGGGAAGAACAAAUGUGUAAGUAACUAUGCACGUCUUGACGGUACCUAAUCAGAAAGCCACGGCUAACUACGUG
rnacentral:rRNA from 1 species